GAGCUAAGUACCGGGUCAGGUGACUAUGCCUUUUUUGAGGCAUGGGCCAAAAGGGAAGUCCGGUGAGAAUCCGGCGCUGUCCCGCAACCGUGACCGGGGAGCGAAGUCCAAGGUAAGAAUGCCACUGGCACCAAUAAAAGGCUGCUGGGAAGGCAAGGACCGAGCGUUGAUCCGGAAGCCGGGAGACCUGCCUGAUCUGUUACUUCCGA
rnacentral:ncRNA from 2 species